GUGUUGCCAUUUCCUAUUCCAGAGGAUCUUAUCAACCCAGGGAUUGAACCUGCCUCUCCACAUCUGUGGUUGGUUGAAUCCAUCAGAUGCAAAACCAUGGAUACAAAAGGUCAACUAUAUACGGAAUCCUCACAUCUACAAUUACAGCCCAGGUAUCACCUUCACCUUGCAUCUUCUGAUCCAGUUGCGCUGAAUUGCUUACAGGAAGACCUGUCCCUGCUGGCUUUUUGUGCAAGGAAUGCACCGCUGUUGUGCUGACUGAAGCAUGAAGUUCAGUGGCUGAGAGGAGCGAUGCUGACUACACGCACCCACAGGGAUGAGAAGAAUUAGCUGUUGCUGAUGUGCAUACUGACCCAAGCCCAUCAACCAGAUAAUUACCAGUCUCUGUUGCCUUUAAGACUGGAUCCUAUCCAGGAAAAUGGAAGCAGAGAAGGAGGAGGCUUGCAAGCCACUGAAGUUGCCAUGAAAAUUUGGCGAGAGAGCCAGGCAAAACCAAAUCAGAAGAGACAACUGGGAAACCCAAGGCAGAAGUCAGCAGGGCCCUGUGUGAAGCGCACAUUAGCACGUAGCAGUGAAACAUGCCAGCUUUGUCAAAACAGCAUCUAUCCUUUUUCGUUCUCCCUCGUGAUUUCCAAGAAUUCAACUACUUCUGUAUUUAAGGACAUGGACAUUUCCUUUCUCUCUGUGUUACUUGUACCAUUUGGGAUAUGCCCAUGCUCAGGUUUCCUGACUACCUUAAAUAGUCCACGGAAAAGGGAAAAUAGGCUUUAAAAAACUCUCCUGCCUGUCGGGAAAGCCCAUGUAAUACCCCAGCCUCAUUCUGUACUUCAGUGUGCACACACAAGUUUCUAAGUGCACUGUGGAACAGAAGAAUAAGCAAACUGGAGCCUAAUUGACCAUCUUAAAAUCUAUAAUUUAAAUGUAUACAUCAGCCACACUUCACAACAGGCAAGUUCCUUUGUGCUCCCCAAGGACACUGCUGAUUCCUCGAGUCUGUGAUUGAAUUCAA